rnacentral:lncRNA from 1 species
UGGGCAGAUUGCUUGAGGUCAAGAGUUCGAGACCAGCCUGGGCAACAUGGCAAAACCCUGUCUCUACUAAAAUUACAAAAAUUAGCUGGAUAUGGUGGCUUCUGCCUAUAGUCCCAGCUACUCAGGAGGCUGAGGUAGGAGAAUCACUUGAACCCGGGAGGUGGAGGUUGCAGUGAGCCAAGAUCACACCACUGCACUCCAGCCUGGGCAACAGAG